rnacentral:lncRNA from 1 species
CAAGUCCAGAGCCAUUUUCAAAUGUCAUCCCUUUCUAGUUAUGGCAAAUAAGAAACCAAGAAACACAACAGGAUUUUGAACUGAAUCAAAGAGUUUUACAAGACUCAAGAUGUUGGCUGGUAGAAAUCCAAGUCAAAAAUGGCGAGUCACAAUAUCUUGUAAGUAUAGUUCAGUGUCUGAUAAAAAUGACCUCAGUUUUUGGUCAAUUUGAAAUAUGUCAUUUAAGGAGAAACUAAAGUAAGAAGAGGAGAGCAUCAGACCUUGGAACAGUAGUAAUCUGCUAGACUCAUUUUAUUCAGCUUUGGGCUUAGGAAAAAUGCACUUCGAUAGUUGUCUAAGGACAAGGCAGAUCUAAUCCCUCUGUAAUGAUUGUGAUGUGGGAAGUUAUUUAGCAAUUGUGUUUCAGUGAUGUUUAAAGGGCACCAAAAGGGAAUAUGACUUUGGAGAGCUAAUGACCAGCAACCCCAAAUGGCUGACCUUAGCUCUUCUUUCUCCAAUGAUAAGUCCUCUAGGCAAGAAAAAAAAAGAAGAUAAGGGAAAGACAAAGGAAGGAAAUGGAAGGAAAGGACAAAGAAGGAAAGUCUACUCUGAAUCUUGACAUGUCAGCUUGAUUCUAGAAGUGCGUUUACCUGGAGGACUUACCCACAACUUUAACCUUGAUGCUUGCAUGUGCCUCUCCAGCUUCGUUUUUCAGAUUGAUGUGGUAAACACCAGAGUCAUCUCUUUCAGCUAUAUCAAUGACCAGAGUGCUGCUAUCAGG